AACGAACGCUGGCGGCAGGCUUAACACAUGCAAGUCGAGCGCAUCCUUCGGGGUGAGCGGCAGACGGGUGAGUAACGCGUGGGAACAUGCCCAAAGGUACGGAACAACUCCGGGAAACUGGAGCUAAUACCGUAUGUGACCGAGAGGUGAAAGAUUUAUCGCCUUUGGAUUGGCCCGCGUCGGAUUAGCUAGGUGGUGAGGUAAAGGCCUACCAAGGCGACGAUCCAUAGCUGGUCUGAGAGGAUGAUCAGCCACACUGGGACUGAGACACGGCCCAGACUCCUACGGGAGGCAGCAGUGGGGAAUAUUGGACAAUGGGCGCAAGCCUGAUCCAGCCAUGCCGCGUGUGUGAUGAAGGCCUUAGGGUUGUAAAGCACUUUCGCCAGGGACGAUAAUGACGGUACCUGGAUAAGAAGCCCCGGCUAACUUCGUGCCAGCCGCCGCAGUAAAAC
rnacentral:rRNA from 1 species